AUGCGGCUCGACAUUGAAUCGGCCAAGAGGAGGGCCCGGCGGACCGUUGCGGCGGAGAAGAAAGCCGCUGCCGACUACGCCGCCGAGGCCGCGGCCGCGCAACACAAGGCCGCUGUUGACCAGAACGAGGCCAUCCUCGCCAAGGCCACGCAGGCAGCGAUGACGCAGGCCCUCGUCAUGCUAGGGUUAUGCCGACCCGGGCCGGCCAUUCUCUUCGCCGCCGCCAUGGCCGCGACGAGCACAGGAUCGUCGUCCGUCCGUCCUCCGCAGUUCCAGUCGCCGAGCUCCUAUAACACCGGAGACGGCCGGUUUUCAUGUGCCACGGCAGAAUGGUCAGACCCGGUUCUCCACAUUGCCGGACGGCAGCGUGAUCGCGCCGGCUAG
rnacentral:rRNA from 1 species